rnacentral:rRNA from 1 species
GACGAACGCUGGCGGCGUGCUUAACACAUGCAAGUCGAACGGAAAGGCCCUGCUUUUGUGGGGUGCUCGAGUGGCGAACGGGUGAGUAACACGUGAGUAACCUGCCCUUGACUUUGGGAUAACUUCAGGAAACUGGGGCUAAUACCGGAUAGGAGCUCCUGCUGCAUGGUGGGGGUUGGAAAGUUUCGGCGGUUGGGGAUGGACUCGCGGCUUAUCAGCUUGUUGGUGGGGUAGUGGCUUACCAAGGCUUUGACGGGUAGCCGGCCUGAGAGGGUGACCGGCUACAUUGGGACUGAGAUACGGCCCAGACGCUUACGGGAGGCAGCAGUGGGGAAUAUUUGAUAAGGGGCGGAAGCCUGAUGCAGCAACGCCGCGUGCGGGAUGACGGCCUUCGGGUUGUAAACCGCUUUCGCCUGUGACGAAGCGUGAGUGACGGAAAUGGGUAAAGAAGCACCGGCUAACUACGUG